rnacentral:rRNA from 1 species
GACUGCCGGUGUUAAACCGGAGGAAGGUGGGGAUGACGUCAAGUCCUCAUGGCCUUUAUGCCCAGGGCUGCACACGUGCUACAAUGCCGCGAACAAAGGGACGCAAACCCGCGAGGGGGAGCAAAUCCCAAAAAACGCGGCCCAGUUCAGAUCGAAGGCUGCAACUCGCCUUCGUGAAGUUGGAAUCGCUAGUAAUCGCGGGUCAGCAACACCGCGGUGAAUGUGUUCCUGAGCCUUGUACACACCGCCCGUCAAGCCACGAAAGGGGGGGACGGCCGAAGUCGCUGUAACAGGCGCCGACGCCGGACUCUCUGAUUGGGACUAAGUCGUAACAAGGUAACCGUAGGGGAACCUGCGGUUGGAUCACCUCCUUUCUAAGGA